GACGAACGCUGGCGGCGUGCUUAACACAUGCAAGUCGAACGGAAAGGCCCUGCUUUUGUGGGGUGCUCGAGUGGCGAACGGGUGAGUAACACGUGAGUAACCUGCCCUUGACUUUGGGAUAACUUCAGGAAACUGGGGCUAAUACCGGAUAGGAGCUCCUGCUGCAUGGUGGGGGUUGGAAAGUUUCGGCGGUUGGGGAUGGACUCGCGGCUUAUCAGCUUGUUGGUGGGGUAGUGGCUUACCAAGGCUUUGACGGGUAGCCGGCCUGAGAGGGUGACCGGCCACAUUGGGACUGAGAUACGGCCCAGACUCCUACGGGAGGCAGCAGUGGGGAAUAUUGCACAAUGGGCGGAAGCCUGAUGCAGAAACGCCGCGUGCGGGAUGACGGCCUUCGGGUUGUAACCGCUUUCGCCUGUGACCAAGCGUGAGUGACGGUAAUGGGUAAAGAAGCACCGGCUAACUACGUG
rnacentral:rRNA from 1 species